UACGUAGGGUGCGAGCGUUGUCCGGAAUUAUUGGGCGUAAAGAGCUUGUAGGCGGUUUGUCGCGUCUGCCGUGAAAUCCGGGGCUCAACCCCGGACUUGCGGUGGGUACGGGCAGACUAGAGUGUGGUAGGGGAGACUGGAAUUCCUGGUGUAGCGGUGAAAUGCGCAGAUAUCAGGAGGAACACCGGUGGCGAAGGCGGGUCUCUGGGACGGUACUGACGCUGAGACGCGAAAGCGUGGGGAGCGAACAGG
rnacentral:rRNA from 1 species